GUCGCGUCCAGAUCGUCGCGACGAAAUCCAGCGGAAGGCGGCACGCCGAAAUCCCUCCCCAGCGACGUCCGUGGAGGCCUUUGCACGGACGCGGCGCGGCGAAGCCCUACUGGAUCUCACGCAUGCUGCUCCGCCGUCAUCAAUCCUCAGGAGAUUAGCAGCCUCCGUGCAGGUGUUCAUGGAGGAUCCACGUUCACUACAAACUGAUGCUGUUGGUGGCGAUCGUGGAGAAGAGGAACAACAAAUAACACAUGUUGGAUCAGUGGAUAAUGAAGUAUCUAAUGAGGAAGUGGUUGAUAAAUCUGGACAAAAUUUGAUGACACCCGAAGUAGGAAUGAGUUUUGAAUCCGAGGAAAAGGCUUAUGAGAUGUACAACACCUAUGCCGGUAAGGUUGGGUUCAGUGUUAGAAAGAGCAGGACAAAGCGCCGUCUAGAUGGUAGUUUAUGUACAAAAUAUAUAGUUUGCAGUUGCCAAGGACAUCGAGAAAAUGAGUCAUCACAAAAGGAUAUUACAAGGACGGGUUGUGAUGCUCGUGUUCAGUUUAGUAUCAGCAGAGAGGGGGUUUGGAUAGUAUAAAAGGUCGUAUUAAACCACAAUCAUUAUCUUGCUACUCCAAGUAAGUCACAUAAGCUGAGGUCCCAACGAGAGGUUAUAGAGGCAGACAGGAAAUUAAUUGGGCAGAUACGGCAAGCUGGAAUGAUGCCAUCCCAAGUUUUUGAGUUCAUGAAGGAGUUUUAUGGAGAAGACAAAAUGCCAUUUUCUAAGACGGAUUGCAAUAAUGAGAUUGGUCGCGGGCGUAGACAGUACUUAGAAGCCAAUGAUGCACAAACAUUAUCUGAAUAUCUGAGAAAUAAAUAGUUACAAGAUCCUACAUUUUUUAUGCGGUUCAGUUGGACAAGAAAGAUGGCUGUAUAAAAAAUUUCUUUUGGGCAGAUGGUCAGUCUAUCAUGGAUUACUCAAACUGCUGUUAAGGGCACUUAUGAAAUCAAACAUGUUCUUUUUGUCUCCAUGAAUGUUACUACAGAAUUGUAUCAGUUUGAGUAAAGUUUGAAUCUGUUGGAAGUAAUAGCACCUCUGUUUAGCUAAUGUGAGGAACCUGUCAUUAACUGUCAUCCAUUUUUUUUCAUGUGAGUGAACCUGCCCUGUGUUCUUUGUCAAUACAUAAUAUCAAGCUCACAGCCAUCCACCAUCGAGCAUCAGCUAACUUUAUCUUCCCACAAUAUGAGCCAUGUUGUUAAAAUGUAAUGAACUGAGAAGCCAUGAUUGCAACAAAUGAGAGAAAAACAGAUGUUUAAGAACAUCCAUAUUUAUUUCAGAGUAGUAACACUUUUGUAAUACAUCCAUACAUUGUACAAUUUUUACCCUGCACUAUAUACAUCUUUGGUACUAUGCAAUUGGCCAAAAGCAUCAGGCCACAACAUCAGGCUUAGAGCCUUCCUCGACAUCAGGCAUCAGGCCACUGCAUAUAAAUGAGUUGAUUUGGAUAAAAAAAA